rnacentral:rRNA from 1 species
AUGAACGCUAGCUACAGGCUUAACACAUGCAAGUCGAGGGGCAUCAGGAAGAAAGCUUGCUUUCUUUGCUGGCGACCGGCGCACGGGUGAGUAACACGUAUCCAACCUGCCCUUUACUCGGGGAUAGCCUUUCGAAAGAAAGAUUAAUACCCGAUGGCAUAAUGAUUCCGCAUGGUUUCAUUAUUAAAGGAUUCCGGUAAAGGAUGGGGAUGCGUUCCAUUAGGUUGUUGGUGAGGUAACGGCUCACCAAGCCUUCGAUGGAUAGGGGUUCUGAGAGGAAGGUCCCCCACAUUGGAACUGAGACACGGUCCAAACUCCUACGGGAGGCAGCAGUGAGGAAUAUUGGUCAAUGGGCGCUAGCCUGAACCAGCCAAGUAGCGUGAAGGAUGAAGGCUCUAUGGGUCGUAAACUUCUUUUAUAUAAGAAUAAAGUGCAGUAUGUAUACUGUUUUGUAUGUAUUAUAUGAAUAAGGAUCGGCUAACUCCGUGCCAGCAGCCGCGGUAAUACGGAGGAUCCGAGCGUUAUCCGGAUUUAUUGGGUUUAAAGGGAGCGUAGGUGGACUGGUAAGUCAGUUGUGAAAGUUUGCGGCUCAACCGUAAAAUUGCAGUUGAUACUGUCAGUCUUGAGUACAGUAGAGGUGGGCGGAAUUCGUGGUGUAGCGGUGAAAUGCUUAGAUAUCACGAAGAACUCCGAUUGCGAAGGCAGCUCACUGGACUGCAACUGACACUGAUGCUCGAAAGUGUGGGUAUCAAACAGGAUUAGAUACCCUGGUAGUCCACACAGUAAACGAUGAAUACGCGCUGUUUGCGAUAUACAGUAAGCGGCCAAGCGAAAGCAUUAAGUAUUCCACCUGGGGAGUACGCCGGCAACGGUGAAACUCAAAGGAAUUGACGGGGGCCCGCACAAGCGGAGGAACAUGUGGUUUAAUUCGAUGAUACGCGAGGAACCUUACCCGGGCUUAAAUUGCAGUGGAAUGAUGUGGAAACAUGUCAGUGAGCAAUCACCGCUGUGAAGGUGCUGCAUGGUUGUCGUCAGCUCGUGCCGUGAGGUGUCGGCUUAAGUGCCAUAACGAGCGCAACCCUUAUCUUUAGUUACUAACAGGUCAUGCUGAGGACUCUAGAGAGACUGCCGUCGUAAGAUGUGAGGAAGGUGGGGAUGACGUCAAAUCAGCACGGCCCUUACGUCCGGGGCUACACACGUGUUACAAUGGGGGGUACAGAAGGCAGCUAGCGGGUGACCGUAUGCUAAUCCCAAAAUCCUCUCUCAGUUCGGAUCGAAGUCUGCAACCCGACUUCGUGAAGCUGGAUUCGCUAGUAAUCGCGCAUCAGCCACGGCGCGGUGAAUACGUUCCCGGGCCUUGUACACACCGCCCGUCAAGCCAUGGGAGCCGGGGGUACCUGAAGUACGUAACCGCAAGGAUCGUCCUAGGGUAAAACUGGUGACUGGGGCU